rnacentral:tRNA from 1 species
GCGGAUGUAGUGUAGUGGUUAUCACUUGAGCUUGCCAAGCUCAUAACUCGGGUUCGAAUCCCGGCAUCCGCA